rnacentral:tRNA from 1 species
AGAAAGCUAGUCUAACCAAGACAGUUGAUUUCGGCUCAACAGAUUACAGUCAACACCCUGUAGCUUUCUU